GUUUAAUUGGUCGCCAGAUGAAACGGUCUUCUUACAUCAAAUUCAAGAAAAAAUACGUAUAAUCAGAGGGUGUUAUGGGAAGAGUAUCACCCCUGAGGAUAAGAAGAGAGCGUGGACUGAAGUGGCAGAAGCUGUAACAAGUGCCUUCCCUGGGAGUGGACCCCGUACGCAGGAUGACUGUGAGAGGCGUUGGUACAACGUACAACAAAAAUCAAAGCCUUGCAUUGCCAAGUGCAAGAAUGAGCAGCAGCAGACUGAUACACACUUUAUCAGUAUUGCUAGAGACCAUCCCAGCACAU